rnacentral:lncRNA from 1 species
AGGAAGAUGGAAUUAAAUCAAAGGGGGCAAAAUCUAUCAAGGCAUAGACUAGAGAUAAACUUGCAAGAACAUGAUUACUAAUGAGAAACUCGUCACACAGUCACUUACUUAAGCAGGGGGUAAACCAUAAAGAUAAUGAUAAUAAAGUAUAAGUUCAUGGGGUAAAGAGCACAGCGAUUAGAAAAUAGACUACUCCUCAUAUAUGUAGGUGAUGUCGGAUUAGCU